rnacentral:rRNA from 1 species
AACUCACUGUAUCAAGCUACGUUACGAUGGCCCCCAAGGGUGUUGACGCAAUGUGAUUUCUGCCCAGUGUUCUGAAUGUCAACGUGAAGAAAUUCAAAAAAGCGCGGGUAAACGGCGGAAGUAACUAUGACUCUCUUAAGGGCGCAGCAUACCGCUAUUAAACGGUUGUGCUGUGAACCCGGGAUUGUUGUAGUU